rnacentral:rRNA from 1 species
GUCGAGCGAAUGAUGAAGAAGCUUGCUUCUUCUGAUUUAGCGGCGGACGGGUGAGUAACACGUGGGCAACCUGCCCUGUAGAUUGGGAUAACUCCGGGAAACCGGGGCUAAUACCGAAUAAUCCAUUUCCUCACAUGUGGAAAUGUUAAAAGACGG